rnacentral:lncRNA from 1 species
AUUUAUAUUUAUAUUUUAUAUUUUUAAAUUUAAUUAUAAAAGAAACAAAAGAAAAUCCUAAAAAUAUCCUAAAGAAAUCCAAACCAAAUCCUAAACCAAACCAAACCUUAAUCCUAAUCAAAUCCAAAUCCUAAUCAAAUCCUUAUCAAAUCCUAAAUAAGCCUUAAUUAAAUCCUAGUCAAAUCUUAGUCAAAUCCUAAUCCUAAUCAAAUCUUAAAUCAAUCCAAAAUCCUAAUCAUAAUUCUAAAUCUAAUCCGAAACCAAACCUUAAUCAA